rnacentral:rRNA from 1 species
UGACCUCAAAUCAGGUAGGAUUACCCGCUGAACUUAAGCAUAUCAAUAAGCGGAGGAAAU